UUGAACUUGACAUUUGGUACGAUGUAAUGUUGCUGUCGCUGAAGAUGCUAGUGUGAUUCAAACAGGCAGAGAUACAUGCUCCACAGAAAUUUUGACUUACCAUUACCUAGAAAUAAUCACUGAUGAGAAUCCAAUUCUGACAAGAAAUAAGACCACCAAUCAUCAUUUGGCCAAAGAACGUAUGAUGAUAAUUACCCAAACAAUCGGAAAACGUCAAUUUUGAAAAGAACAGGACGGGUCUGCCUAAAAAGCUCUGGCUACUGAUUGCCCAAUCUACGAGUGCGAGUACUGCCAGAACCGAAGCCAUCUUCCCUUCCGUAUGCUCGUACACUUAGUGUGUGGAUCUUUUAGCAACUCGCAUGUGAAGUCUGUGGCGGCUGAUGGAUCGCCUGGGCGUUCGGACAAGGUGUUCAUCAUAGUCAGAGCUUGGCAAAUCGUGCCUCUGUUGACCUGGUUGCAUAACCGCCAGACCAUUUCCUACACCUCCAUCUCGGUCUCCACGUAGCCGCGUAGGUUGUGGCAAUUAGUCAAAUGCAUUCGCAAACAAAAAACCACAAACAGAAGCCACAAAGGCCCAGCACUUGACUCUCAUUUGCGCCUGCUGAGUGGCUUUGUCUAAUUGAAUUAGCGCUAUUU
rnacentral:sRNA from 1 species